rnacentral:rRNA from 1 species
GGAGGAAAGUAGGGGAUCGCAAGACCUUGCGCUCUUUGAGCGGCCGAUGCCUGAUUAGCUAGUUGGUGAGGUAAAGGCUUACCAAGGCGACGAUCAGUAGCUGGUCUGAGAGGACGACCAGCCACACUGGGACUGAGACACGGCCCAGACUCCUACGGGAGGCAGCAGUGGGGAAUUUUGGACAAUGGGGGAAACCCUGAUCCAGCCAUGCCGCGUGAGUGAAGAAGGCCUUCGGGUUGUAAAGCUCUUUCAGCCGGAACGAAACGGUCACGGCUAAUACCUGUGAUCACUGACGGUACCGGAAGAAGAAGCACCGGCUAACUACGUGCCAGCAGCCGCGGUAAUACGUAGGGUGCAAGCGUUAAUCGGAAUUACUGGGCGUAAAGCGUGCGCAGGCGGUUUUGUAAGUCAGAUGUGAAAUCCCCGGGCUUAACCUGGGAACUGCGUUUGAAACUACAAGGCUAG